rnacentral:misc_RNA from 1 species
GAUGAAGAACGUAGCGAAAUGCGAUAAGUAGUGUGAAUUGCAGAAUUCAGUGAAUCAUCGAAUCUUUGAACGCACAUUGCGCCCCUUGGUAUCCCGAGGGGCAUGCCUGUUCGAGCGUCAUUUCACCACUCAAGCCUGGCUUGGUGUUGGGCGACGUCCCCUUUGGGGACGCGCCUCGAAACGCUCGGCGGCGUGGCACCGGCUUUAAGCGUAGCAGAAUCUUUCGCUUUGGAAGUCGGGGCCCCGUCUGCCGGAAGACCUACUCGCAAGGUUGACCUCGGAUCAGGCAGGGAUACCCGCUGAACUUAAGUAUAUCAAUAAGCGGAGGA